UGGGGAAUAUUGCACAAUGGAGGGAACUCUGAUGCAGCGACGCCGCGUGAGUGAUGAAGGAAUUCGUUUCGUAAAACUCUGUUCUAUGGGUAGAAAAGGACUGUACCAUAGGAGAAAGCUCCGGCUAAAUACGUGCCAGCAGCCGCGGUAAUACGUAUGGAGCGAGCGUUGUCCGGAAUUAUUGGGCGUAAAGGGUGCGCAGGCGGCUUUACAAGUUGGAUGUGAAAUAUUGUGGCUCAACCACAAACGUGCAUCCAAAACUGCAAAGCUUGAGUUAAGGAGAGGUAAGUGGAAUUCCUGGUGUAGCGGUGGAAUGCGUAGAUAUCAGGAGGAAUACCGGUGGCGAAGGCGACUUACUGGACUUAAACUGACGCUCAGGCACGAAAGCGUGGGGAGCAAACAGG
rnacentral:rRNA from 1 species